UACGAAGGGGGCUAGCGUUGCUCGGAAUCACUGGGCGUAAAGCGCACGUAGGCGGAUUUUUAAGUCAGGGGUGAAAUCCUGGAGCUCAACUCCAGAACUGCCUUUGAUACUGGGAAUCUCGAGUCCGGGAGAGGUGAGUGGAACUGGCGAGUGUAGAGGUGAAAUUCGUAGAUAUUCGCAAGAACACCAGUGGCGAAGGCGGCUCACUGGCCCGGUACUGACGCUGAGGUGCGAAAGCGUGGGGAGCAAACAGG
rnacentral:rRNA from 1 species